CCUACGGGACGCAGCAGUGAGGAAUAUUGGUCAAUGGGCGCGAGCCUGAACCAGCCAAGUAGCGUGAAGGAUGACUGCACUACGGGUUGUACACCUCUUUUAUCAAGGAAUAAAGUGAGGCACGUGUCCCUUUUUGUAUGUACUUUAUGAAUAAGGAUCGGCUAACUCCGUGCCAGCAGCCGCGGUAAUACGGAGGAUCCGAGCGUUAUCCGGAUUUAUUGGGUUUAAAGGGGGCGUAGAUGGGUUGUUAAGUCAGUUGUGAAAGUUUGCGGCUCAACCGUAAAAUUGCAAUUGAUACUGGCAGUCUUGAGUACAGUUGAGGUAGGCGGAAUUCGUGGUGUAGCGGUGAAAUGCUUAGAUAUCACGAAGAACUCCGAUUGCGAAGGCAGCUUACUAGACUGCCACUGACAUUGAUGCUCGAAAGUGUGGGUAUCAAACAGGAUUAGAUACCCGGGUAGUC
rnacentral:rRNA from 1 species